AAGAAAGGAAGGAUGUGAUUUAAAUUCAGCUAUUGUCUCUCUUUACAGUGUGACAGCUUUACCAAGUACCAUGGGGAACAACUGAAGGGGUUUUUGGGUAAAAAGGGUCCUCCCCUUGAUGUGUGUGAGAAAGUGGGCCUGUGUGGAGGAAUGGGCGGGCCAGCAGGGCAAGAAGGAAACCCCUGCACUGUGGGUAGCAGCUACACGUGCAGAGAUCUGAAGACUGCUCUGGAAUGUGGGACAGUGCCCUUUUGCCAGGAACAUAUUUGGGAAUAGAGAUUUUGCUCAAUACCCCUCUCUCAAAUGGAAUGAGAGCCUGAGGUAUUUGCUACCACUGAUGACCCUCAUUUCAACAUCCAAUUGCAAAUAUGACCCAGUCGAAAUUUCUCAAACUAUGUUUGUCUGUCAGAUAGUAUGAUCUGCACACAUUGGAGUUAGCUGAUUGCAUUGUCACUGUUUUUGUUUGCCUCUGUGCCUUUUUUGAAACUUUCAGAAUAGGGCUAUGAUUGUUUUUCAUCAGAUUUCUUUCUAGUACAUUCUAGACAUAUACUGUACUUUGAAAGUAUUGUUUUAGCAUAAACAUUUUUAUUUAUGCAUUUAGAUAUAGAACAAUUUGAUCACCAGCUCUUUCAAUAAACAAAUUAUGC